CCUACGGGUGGCUGCAGUGAGGAAUAUUGGUCAAUGGGCGCGAGCCUGAACCAGCCAAGUAGCGUGAAGGAUGACUGCCCUACGGGUCGUAAACUUCUUUUAUAAAGGAAUAAAGUGUGGCACGUGUGCCCGGUUGUGUGUACUUUAUGAAUAAGGAUCGUCUAACUCCGUGCCAGCAGCCGCGGUAAUACGGAGGAUCCGAGCGUUAUCCGGAUUUAUUGGGUUUAAAGGGAGCGUAGAUGGGUUGUUAAGUCAGUUGUGAAAGUUUGCGGCUCAACCGUAAAAUUGCAAUUGAUACUGGCAGUCUUGAGUACAGGUGAGGUAGGCGGAAUUCGUGGUGUAGCGGUGAAAUGCUUAGAUAUCACGCAGAACUCCGAUUGCGAAGGCAGCAUACUAAACUGCCACUGACAUUGAUGCUCGAAAGUGUGGGUAUCAAACAGGAUUAGAUACCCGAGUAGUC
rnacentral:rRNA from 1 species